ACGGGGCCGCACAAGCGGUGAGCAUGUGGUUUAAUUCGAAGCAACGCGAAGAACCUUACCAGGUCUUGACAUCCCCUGACAACCCGAGAGAUCGGGCGUUCCCCUUCGGGGGACAGGGUGACAGGUGGUGCAUGGUUGUCGUCAGCUCGUGUCGUGAGAUGUUGGGUUAAGUCCCGCAACGAGCGCAACCCCUACGUUUAGUUGCUAACGCGUGAAGGCGAGCACUCUAGACGAACUGCCGUUGACAAAACGGAGGAAGUGGGAUGACGUCAAAUCAUCAUGCCCCUUAUGUUCUGGGCUACACACGUGCUACAAUGGCCGGUACAGACGGACGCAAAGCCGCGAGGUGGAGCAAAUCCUAAAAAGCCGGUCUCAGUUCGGAUUGCAGGCUGCAAUUCGCCUGCAUGAAGUCGGAAUCGCUAGUAAUCGCAGGUCAGCAUACUGCGGUGAAUACGUUCCCGGGCCUU
rnacentral:rRNA from 1 species